rnacentral:rRNA from 1 species
ACAAGCCUGAGAAACGGCUAGUAGGACUAAGGUCUGCAGCAGGCGCGAAACUUACACAAUGCUAGAUUACAAUUAGCGAUGUAGUGAAGAAAAAUAACGAUGUACUUCCAUUUAAACAUGGUAGUACAAUUGGAAUGAGACGACUAUAAACGAGUUAGUCGAGUAACAAAUGGAGGGCAAGUCUGGUGCCAGCAGCCGCGGUAAUUCCAGCUCCAUUAGCAUACAUUAAAGUUGUUGCGGUUAAAAAGCUCGUAGUUGAAUUUUAGGCGGGCUCUAUUGGGCAGCAAUCGUUAAGGUUUUGGCUAUCAUAUUCAUUCACUUGGAUUGGGUUAAAACUGGUUGUUUUCGCCCUGAUAGGAACCCGCUGUUUCGUCACUUAAUCGAGUGCGAAGCGGGCUGGAACGAUGGUUUAUCUCUUCGGAGGUCCAUGUUACAGCAUGUUUACCUUGAGAAAAUUAGAGUGCUCACAGCAGGCAGUUGGGGUGUAAAAGCUCCUUUAUGCUUGAAUAAUGUUGCAUGGAAUAAUAGAAUACGGCCUCGGUUCUAUUCUGUUGGUCUUAUAGAACAACAAACAAGUUGGUUAAAGCGAUCAAAAGCCUCUUUGUUGGCGUGGCUUUAAGAGUCACCAGUGUGUGGUGUUAUGUUUGGUAGGUGUUGCCUGUGUUUCUAUAUUUCUGUUGCCUGGGGCCUUAAAAUCUCAGCGCCAGGAUUGGUUAUAUUGGGCCUCCUAACUAAUGUAUCAUUCAUCUGGUCAUAGCUCUUUUAGUCAUUUUAAAGCGCUACUUAGUUGGGCUAGCUUUCUAAUCAACUGAGGCAAUGGUUAAAAGAAAUAGUCGCGGCGGCAUCAGUACUGCAUCGUGAGAG